rnacentral:rRNA from 1 species
AGUGAACGCUGGCGGUAUGCCUAACACAUGCAAGUCGAACGGCAGCACAGUAAGAGCUUGCUCUUACGGGUGGCGAGUGGCGGACGGGUGAGGAAUACAUCGGAAUCUACUUUUUCGUGGGGGAUAACGUAGGGAAACUUACGCUAAUACCGCAUACGACCUUCGGGUGAAAGCAGGGGAUCUUCGGACCUUGCGCGAUUGAAUGAGCCGAUGUCGGAUUAGCUAGUUGGCUGGGUAAAGGCCCACCAAGGCGACGAUCCGUAGCUGGUCUGAGAGGAUGAUCAGCCACACUGGAACUGAGACACGGUCCAGACGCCUACGAGAGGCAGCAGUGGGGAAUAGUGGACAGUGGGCGCAAGCCUGAUCCAGCCAUACCGCGUGGGUGAAGAAGGCCUUCGGGUUGUAAAGCCCUUUUGUUGGGAAAGAAAAGCAGCAGGUUAAUACCCCGCUGUUCUGACGGUACCCAAAGAAUAAGCACCGGCUAACUUCGUG